CGCCCCCUGCAGUGUUCGUUAGUGACCGGGUAUUUUCUUGAGCCUAAUCAAUGCCCGGGGGGCAUAAUGAAGAUGCUGUUGUGCAUGUCCGCCCCGAGCGGAAAGCCUGAUGCAUCCCUGUUGCUCCCACUUGAACCUACAGGUUCAAGAGCAAAGGCUCACGACGGCACAGGUGGGGGGCGC
rnacentral:other from 1 species